UGGGGAAUAUUGCACAAUGGGCGAAAGCCUGAUGCAGCGACGCCGCGUGAGGGAUGACGGCCUUCGGGUUGUAAACCUCUUUCAGCAGGGACGAAGCGCAAGUGACGGUACCUGUAGAAGAAGCACCGGCUAACUACGUGCCAGCAGCCGCGGUAAUACGUAGGGUGCAAGCGUUGUCCGGAAUUACUGGGCGUAAAGAGUUCGUAGGCGGUUUGUCGCGUCGUUUGUGAAAACCAGCAGCUCAACUGCUGGCUUGCAGGCGAUACGGGCAGACUUGAGUACUGCAGGGGAGACUGGAAUUCCUGGUGUAGCGGUGAAAUGCGCAGAUAUCAGGAGGAACACCGGUGGCGAAGGCGGGUCUCUGGGCAGUAACUGACGCUGAGGAACGAAAGCGUGGGUAGCGAACAGG
rnacentral:rRNA from 1 species